GCCUCCCUGUGAGACUAGCACGCCCAUGGGCGCAAAGACGGGUGCAGGUGCAUUUGCUAUUUAAACGACGUGGGAGCUGGACGGGAAACUGACAACUGCGUCUGGCUGAAACUAGC